rnacentral:rRNA from 1 species
AGCGAACGCCGGCGGAAUGCUUAACACAUGCAAGUCGCACGCCCUGCAAGGGGAGUGGCGGACGGGUGAGUAACGCGUAGGAAUAUGUCCAGAGGUGGGGGACAACCCUGGGAAACUGGGGCUAAUACCGCAUGUGGGCUGAGGCCCAAAGCAGUGAUGCGCCUUUGGAGUAGCCUGCGUCCGAUUAGCUUGUUGGUGGGGUAAAGGCUUACCAAGGCGACGAUCGGUAGCUGGUCUGAGAGGACGACCAGCCACACUGGGACUGAGACACGGCCCAGACUCCUACGGGAGGCAGCAGUGGGGAAUAUUGGACAAUGGGCGCAAGCCUGAUCCAGCAAUUCCGCGUGGGUGAAGAAGGUCUUCGGAUUGUAAAGCCCUUUCGACGGGGACGAUGAUGACGGUACCCGUAGAAGAAGCCCCGGCUAACUUCGUGCCAGCCGCCGCGGUAA